rnacentral:tRNA from 1 species
GGGGUUGUGGCUCAGUAGUAGAACACCUGCUUUGCAUGUAGAAAGUUUCAAGUUCAAUCCCUGGCAUCUCCA